AAGUCGUAACAAGGUUUCCGUAGGUGAACCUGCGGAAGGAUCAUUAAAACAAUAAUGAAUGUCGGGGGAGGGCGCUUCGGUGCUUUCCCCCGUGUAUUCAACCAAACCCGCUCGUGUAUUUGGAUCAACCAAAAAAAACUAAACAAAAUUUUUAACGAUAAUAAUUAAACAAACUUUCAACAACGGAUCUCUUGGCUCUC
rnacentral:misc_RNA from 1 species